GACGUGAAAGACUAGUGUUAUUCAUCUUUAAUAGGUUUAAAGGGUACCUAGACGGUAUAUCUAGCCAAAAAGGUACGGAUUUACUAGAGUUUUAUGUGAGAAGGUGAGUAUUUAAAGUGUAGAGAUGAAAUUUUUUAAUACUUUAAGGACUAGUAACGGCGAAAGAAACCUUUAUUGUAAUAACUGACGUUGAGGGACGAAGGCCUAGGGUAGCGAAACAGGAUUAGACAUACC
rnacentral:rRNA from 1 species